CUUCACCGAGCCCAGCCACAGCGGCCGGUCGCGGUCCUGCCCGUAGGCGGCGAUGAGCGCGCGGGCCUC
rnacentral:antisense_RNA from 1 species